AGUGAACGCUGGCGGUAGGCCUAACACAUGCAAGUCGAACGGCAGCACAGUAAGAGCUUGCUCUUACGGGUGGCGAGUGGCGGACGGGUGAGGAAUACAUCGGAAUCUACUUUUUCGUGGGGGAUAACGCAGGGAAACUUACGCUAAUACCGCAUACGACCUACGGGUGAAAGCAGGGGAUCUUCGGACCUUGCGCGAUUGAAUGAGCCGAUGUCGGAUUAGCUAGUUGGCGGGGUAAAGGCCCACCAAGGCGACGAUCCGUAGCUGGUCUGAGAGGAUGAUCAGCCACACUGGAACUGAGACACGGUCCAGACUCCUACGGGGAGCAGCAGUGGGGAAUAUUGGACAAUGGGCGCAAGCCUGAUCCAGCCAUACCGCGUGGGUGAAGAAGGCCUUCGGGUUGUAAAGCCCUUUUGUUGGGAAAGAAAAGCAGCAGGUUAAUACCCCGCUGUUCUGACGGUACCCAAAGAAUAAGCACCGGCUAACUUCGUG
rnacentral:rRNA from 1 species